AUAACCUCCAUUAGGUUAGAUUCAAUAAAAAGACACAGAAUAUUAGCAUGGUCCAUGCGCAAGGAUGACACAUACAAAUUGAGAAAUGGUCCAAAUAUUU